rfam:Pseudoalteromonas luteoviolacea S4054 contig_27, whole genome shotgun sequence.
UGUUCCCUAGCUCGCUGGACCGUGGAUUAUGUCCCUGAGCCGAUAAACUUUUUUUAGGAAUGCAGUUUAUCCACUUUUGCGCAAGCUUGGCAUGUACCGAGAAGCCUACGGUGGGUUGUUGCUUUCCGCCUUGAACCUUAGGGUUCAAGGACUUAUAUCCGCAUCCACGCAGCCGGGGACACC